rnacentral:precursor_RNA from 15 species
AGACCGCCAGGGCACUUGGGAAUGGCGAGGAAACCGUUACCAUUACUGAGUUUAGUAAUGGUAACGGUUCUCUUGCUGUACCCAGAAAACGUGCCAAGAAGA